rnacentral:lncRNA from 1 species
ACUUGGUCUGCUCAGCCUUCACAUUUCAAAGGCUUAGAGUAUAAUAGGAGCUGAAGAUCUAUAUCCAAAUGGAUCAUUUCUUUCAUCCUUCAGAAUAAUUGAAGUAUUUUGUCUGUUUGUUUGGUACCAGAGAUAUAACUUGGGUCUUUGUGCUUGCAAAGCAGGCGGUGGAACCACUGAGCUAAAUCCCCAGCCCAUGGAAUAAUUGAAGUUUUGAUGUAACCCCUCCAUGUAUAUAAGUUGGGUGACACAUGUGGCAUGAAACUUGACAGAUGUGCUUCAGGACUAAGUGACCACUCCCUAUCGCUAAAGUAACAGUAAAUCUAUUGUGAUGUCUUUCUAUUUCACCUUCUACCAUCACGUCUUCAAAUGGAGCUCUGAAAUGUGCUACCCAGACAUUCAGGAAUUCUUGUUGAGAUAAGAAUGUGAAGCACAGAGAAAACGCAGAGACGUGGCUUUGCUACAAAAUAACACAGAGAAAUGUUGAGGCAAAAUUAUGAAAGUAGGACUCAAGGGAACAAAAUGUCUCGACACCAAGGCUGGUGCAUGAUCAUCUAUCUCAAAUUUCAAGGCUUUGAGAAUUACUUCCCAACAACAGAAGACCCCCACACUGGGAAUGAAUGGACCUGCUACCCAUUUGUGAAUAAGCCAGAUGACUGGCUUUGUCCAUGCUAGAAGAAGAUUAGCUGCUUGGGAUGAAAAUGACAAUGACCUUAAAAUGUUGCCUCUAAGCAUGCAAAAUCCACUGCCGAUAUUCUCACCCAGAGGCCAUAUGAAGUGAUCAACCAGGAACUGAAGGAAAAUCAGUGAUGGUAACCAUCACUGUGCUUCUGACUGCACCAUGUCUGUGAUUUUGAAGAAGUGGAAAGUGUUACAGGAUCUCCAUUCUUGAAGGCAAUGAGACUAACAAAAAUUCAAGAAGGGCCUUUAUAAGAUGUGAAGAAACUUCGAAUGAUCUGAUCAAAUACCAGACACAGAAGUAUAUCUCACACAAUACCAUAAUGAUCAUAGCCAAAACAUAAAGCUUA